UACGUAGGGUGCGAGCGUUAAUCGGAAUUACUGGGCGUAAAGCGUGCGCAGGCGGUUCGACAAGUCCGAUGUGAAAGCCCCGGGCUCAACCUGGGAAUGGCAUUGGAAACUGGCGAGCUUGAGUGUGGCAGAGGGGGGUGGAAUUCCGCGUGUAGCAGUGAAAUGCGUAGAGAUGCGGAGGAACACCGAUGGCGAAGGCAGCCCCCUGGGCUGACACUGACGCUCAGGCACGAAAGCUAGGGGAGCGAAUGGG
rnacentral:rRNA from 1 species